AAUUAGUCAAUUUCUCUCUGCCUUCACAGGCUGGCGACUUUGCUGCUGAGCUGAAACUGCUAAUUUCUGUGACCAGCUUUUUUUCUUAGCUGUGAUCUGGAUGAAUGAGUAGCUGUCUCACAGAGAUGACAAAAAUAAACUCUAAUCCCCCCCAAAAUUUCCACUACAUCUUUCUCAUGCAUAGAUUUAUGAUCUGCAAGCGCCCAGUGCAAUAUGCAAACUUUUGUGUCUGUACAGAAGGCUGCUAGAGUCACACCAGGCUCGGAUUUUCUUUUCCCUCCCCCCCCCCCCAAAUCGAGACCCCUCCAACGUGAUCCCAAAACUAGAGAUAUUGUCACCACUCCAACUCUCUCUGUGUUAUUACUUUGACAGGGUACAUCCUCGCUCAUGCAUAUGUAAAAGGGAGAGAUAGAGGAGCAGAGGUAAAGUGAGGCUAAUGCACAGUAUUAGCAGCAUAGCUGUUCCUUUUACUUGGCUCUUCUGCACUAUCAACGAUUUAUGCUCAUGUUUGAAAGCAUAUUUUCCCUGUCGUUUUGUCUGGUUAGACAAGCGUCUCUGUAUUUCACUGUCAGCUACUCAACAGAUAAAGGUUCAGAAGUCACUCUUUAUUGUCAGAUUAGCAUAUUGUCAGAUUUGUCUUUCAGCUUAGACACUUUGCAGUGCAGGAGCCUGGCUCCGAGAACAGGAAAGCAGCUACUAGGUUGCUAUGAGUUUUCCAGGUUGUAUGGCUAUUUUACAGAAGCAUUCUCUCCUGACGUUUUGCCCACAUCUAUGGCAGGCAUCCUCAGAGGUUGUGAGGUACAUAUUGGAAAUUUGGCAAGGGAGGUUUAUAUAUCUGAGGAAUACUCAGCCUGGGAUAAAGAACUCUUGUCUGUCUGAGGCAAGUAUGAAUGUUUCAGUUGGCCAGCUUGAUUAGCACUAAAUAUCCUGGCAACAAAGGAUUCCCCCAGGCAGGAAACAGCCAGGCUUUGAAGCUUCCAAGCUGUUCAAUGCUAAUUAAGCUGGCCAAUUGAAACAUUCACACUUGCCUCAGGCAGAUCAGAGGUCUUUCUUCCACCCUGAACAUUCCACAGAUAUAUAAACCCCACUUUCCUAGUUUCCAACAUCUCACAACCUCUGAGGAUGCCUGCCACAGAUGUGGGUGGAAUGUCAGGAGAGAAUGCUGUCAGGCUAUUCAAUGCUAAUCAAGCUGGCCAACUGAAACAGUCAUACUUGCCCCAGGCAGACAGGAGUUCUUUCUCCCACCCUAAACAUUCCACAGAUAUAUAAACCCCACUUGCCUAGUUUCCAACGCCUCACAAACUCUAAGGAUGCCUGCCAUAGAUGUGGGUGAAACGUCAGAAGAGAAUGCUUCUGGAACAUGUUCGUACAGCCCCAAAAACUUGCAGCGACCCAGUGAUUCCAGCCAUUAAAGCCUUCAACAACACAUUAAAGCAGUUACCUUAACAAAUAUUACCUUUCACAUUUAUUAUAAUAAAAUUAUUAUUAUUAUUAUUAUUAUUAUUAUUAUUAUUAUUAUUAUUAUUAUUAUUAUUAUUAUACCCUGCCUCCAUCUCCCCACAGGGACUUGGGGCGGCUAACAUGGGGCCAUGCACAAAUUUCCACAUUAACAAGAUAAAAUACAAUUUGCAAUAAAACAAACAUUUUGACUGAUCCAGGGGAACUUAUGAAUCACACCAUUAAUUGCUUAGGGCAGCUAUGUAUUUUAGCUGCUUUAUAAAACCAAGCCACACAGGGUAUAUCCUUUCAGCAAGGACAAAUUCUCCACAGUUGAUCCAUGAUGUAUUGCAGUCUCACAUUUCUUGCUCAGUUCUUCUAUUGUCAAAACUCCACUUGCCCCCGAUGAAGAGUGUGUCCUUGUAUCAGGCACAUUAAAGAUGACUCAAGAACAACACUUCGGAGAAAGUUGAAACGAGUGGGAUGUGGGAAUAAAGUCCUACGAUCCCAAUGAAUGAGGCAUUUGUAAUUAAAAUGCAUGCCAGGGGGUUUAGCUCAAAACACUAUCCCUUAUUUUAUUCCUUCUGAGUUUGCAGAAGCAUAUGCUGAAUGAAGAAAACCAGCUGGAAGUUGAAUUAUCCAGGAAAUGGGAAGACCCAGCUUGUCAUCAGGCCACUAAUACUCUCAAAAUAAUGCGAAAACCAAAUCCAUAUGCUUUUUAUAAUACAAUUAUUUGCCUGUUCUGAAAAUACCCUUUGUUCUGGCACUGCCUUAUGUCUUGGUUUAUUGCACUGAAAGGUGUAAAUCACAGUCUAGGUUGAGAAAUUCUGGAUUAUCCAAUCCUCACUUUGUUAUCAUUUAUGGAUCCAUCAAAGAUCUUUAGAUGGACACAUAAUGCUAUGGAGUCUGCAUGGCUUUUUGUUACUACACAUUUGCAAUGUGUCUUUAAACUAUGACAAAUGAACAAAACAGGAUGCUCCUGUAUGUCCUCUAGGAAAGGCAUAUGUUGUGAGCCUGUUAGACACACACCCACCUCAAUCGCAAUGGCUGUGAACUUCUUGGCCAUCCGAGGAAAGUAGGUUUUUUUUUGUCAUCCCAUUGUCUUUGAACUUUAUUGCAUUGUUUUUUUCCUGGUUACAAAUAAAUGUGGAGGGCAGUAGAUAAAGUCUUUCAUUAAAUUAUGUCACAAAAUCAUAGACCAGUUUACGGCCACAAAGAAAUGCCUUUGGAUGUUUUGUGGACCCAAUCAACAAUUUCAUUGCAUUAUCAGGGAUUAAAAAUAGUUGUGUUGUUUGUUAUCUCGAUAGAUCCACAAACAAACAUUAUAUGUCCCCAUGACAAUCUAUGGAUGACGAACAUUCAAGGAUAUUGCUGUGAAUUGCAGCAAAGGAAACAGGAUAGGACUAUGUAAAGUUUUGGCUCCUGACUUUGUCAUGUUUGCUCCCUUUUGGACAGUUUUGCAUGAGGCAAUAACUGGCUUUAAAAUUCUAUGAGGCUUAAUUUCCUAUAAAACCUAUUUAUAGAGAAAAGGGUUGCAACUUUAAUAGUCAGAGCAGCAAGUUGGGUCGGUUGUAGCUUGUAUAUCUCACUUGUUGCACUAUUAUCGCGUAAUAGUCAGAGGUAGGCCUCUUAUACUCCCCACUAACCUGUGUGUAUAAUGGCUGUAUUGGAAUUGGCUGAUUGAGAUUUGACACCUUGAUGAACCAUAAAACUUAAUGGAUGAGCUGUGUCAGGUCACAAUCAGCUUAAUCUGCCUUGCAAUUGUAAAGAUAUAGGAAUAAGAGAGCCAUGGAUGCUAUGUUCCACCCAGUGGGUGCAAGGCAGCAAAUAAAUGUAAUAAACUCAAAUCCAUUGUUUUCCAAUUGGGACUCUAUUAAAUAUGGUGCCUUAGGCUAAGUUUUGGAGUAUAGGUUGUAAACAGGUAUUUCUGUUUGCUAUAUGUGUGAUAAAAAUACAUAUUCAUAUAAUAUUCUUAGCAAGAUUUUGGAUUUAAGUUAUUUCAGUGUAUUUAUAUUAGAUGUAAAUGUAUGAUAAAUAAAUUGAAACAUAUUUUCUAUAAAUGUAACACUAGCAGAAUGAAAAGCUUCACUGAUACAGUUGUAUAGCUGGUGGCUGAACCUCUUUUGUGAAAUGGAUACAACAAAAACAGUUGGGGAUAUCAAACUUACUCUGAAAAUGACCAACUUGUUAAUUGCUGCAAUUAACUGCAAUCAAUCACUCUGACCAGGAGGUCAUGAGUUCGAGGCCCGCUCGGAGCUAUGUUGUUUGUCUUUGUCCUAUGUUAAAAAGGCAUCGAAUGUUUGCCUAUAUGUGUAAUGUGAUCCGCCCUGAGUCCUCUUCGGGGUGAGAAUAUAAAUGCUGUAAAUAAAUAAAUAAAUAAAUAAAUAAAUAAAUAAAUAAAUAAACUUCUAGCACAAUGGGUCUUUUGCUAGCACAAUGCUGUAAUUCUUAUUAAAUACGUCCAUUAUUAUAUGGCCCUGGCAAAACAUGUAGCUGCAGAACGUGUAAAAUAGCUAGCUCUGAAAGUUUGGUAGAUGAAUUACCUUUCUAUAUCUCUGCCCUACCAAUCUGAAAAUUAUUUUGUCCUACAUUAUUGUAGCGGUAGAUUAAUUGUAGUUUACUUCAUUGUUGAAAGUGCAGAAACAGGUUCUUGUAUUUGGUUUGUUCUGCUGAGUAGUAUCAGCAGUUUUCAUCUCUCCCUCUAUUGCAUUUUAAAUGGUAGAAGAAAUGUAACAAGUAGCAUUCAACAAGAGGACCAACCAUGUACAUGUAUUUUACUUUUCUGGUUGUUCAUUUAUGAAUAAGCAUAUAUUUGAUGUGGAUUAACAUCCAUCUGUGCUGUAAAGAGGAGGAAUUUUGUUCAUAAGCAUCCUACUUCUGUUGAGUGGUCUCUUUCAGCAAGAGAGUGACCAAUGUUGGAUACAGCCCUAUAUAUGUGACUUACUGCAUACUGCAUCCUUUGUGUGCAGUUUGCAGCAACAUGCUUUACUACAUUUUGGUUUUUCUCACCAACUGGAAGAGCCAUUAUAUAGUGCAGUGAGUUCCAGGCAAAACUGGGACUAAGGCAGAACAAUUGUUGCACAACAGUAUCAUAUGAUUAUCUCCUUGGAGAGGAGCAAAAAGGCAUGUGGCUACUUAAUUGGGGUUUAUCUCUGAGUGAGCUUGUAUUGGGACUUAUCUUUGAGUGGACAUAUCUAGGAUGGCAAUGCAAAAUGGAAUCAAUGAGGGGAUGAAAUGAAAAGCCAUCCUAGUUAUGUCCACCAGAGAGAACUCCACAUUUCCCCCUGUUACUAAUAUGUGAAUGAACACUACCUAGUAGGGUAAUACAUAACAAUCACUUUCUCAUGUGAGUGUUCACUGAUAUCGCCUUUCAUCUUCCACAGUUGGGUUUUAAAAUCAGUAAGAACCUCACAGAAGUAUGACUGGAGGAAGUUCGGGGGACUAGCUAUCAUUGCAGGAAGUUAAUGUGCUCUUUCUGAUGCCAGCCCUUUCCUCUAAAUCAGUAGUUCUCAACCUGGGGUCCCCAGAUGUUUUUGGUCUUCAACUCCCAGAAAUCCUAACAGCUAGUAAAUUGGCUGGGAUUUCUGGGAGUUGUAGGCCAAAGGCAUCUGGGGACCCCAGGCUGAGAACCAGGGGUCUCAUUCUUUUGUGAAACAUAGGGUUAGAAACCCUUUUUUGUGCUCAGGUAACAUCUAGUUUUGUUUGAAAUCUAAAUUAUAGUUUCCUUGCCAGUUUAUGCACUAAUCCAAUUUAGUUCUUUCUAAGGCAAAGACAACCUGUGAAAAUUUGCUUCUGUACAAGUCUUUCGAGGUUCUUUUUGCCUGUGUGAUUACUGACAAGCCUGGAUUGUUCUGGGUCUGACAAUGGCGCUGUUGGCAUGGACCCUGCUUUAAAGUAUGUGAGGCUACUUGGCUUUGAUUUUCUCACACAUUCCAAAGUCUACAGCUGGAGUACUUCUGAAAUAGACCAUCACCAUUUAAUAGGUAUAAAAUGUCUAAAUUAUAUUAGUACUAUACAUGAAAGUAAGUAUGCCUAUGUUCACAGGAACAUAGGAGGAAGUAAUAAACUUUCUUCUUAGGGAGGAAACAUUUUACACUAGUUUGCACACUAGAAAAUCCAAAUGCUACAAUAUUGUAUUGUAAAAAAAAAAGGAAGAAAACCACCAGAAGAACAUGUAAGAAAAGAAAACAUAGAAUUCAUCCUUACUAUUUCAGUUGAAAAAGUUAACAUAACUGGUAAUGAGCAAGUUGGAAAUAGUUUGAAGCUGCUUUCUUUACUUCUUUGUUUAAGUAUAAAAAGAUACUCCGAGUAAACUUCAAAAAGCAUACAUAGAGGGACAAACUAUGAGUGACAUAGAAGAGUCGUGAUGAAAUCCUCCGAUAUUUACAUAACAUUUACAAAUUUAAAUUGGCGGAGUCAAACUUCUUCGGAUCACCUGCAAUGGGAGAGGAUAACAGUGAUGAUCUCCAUAUCCAUGGGAUGAUCUCCAUAUCCACGAGACCAGUAUCUGUGGUUUCAUUGAUACACACCUGACAAAGUAUGUCCUCUCUAGCAUUGUCUAGGUUCUGCAGCAUGACUGUAGAUCAGUGGUUCUCAACCUGUGGGUCCCCAGGUGUUUUGUCCUACAACUCCCAGAAAUCCCAACUAGUUUACCAGCUGUUAGGAUAUCUUGAAGGCCAAAACAUCUGGGGACCCACAGGUUGAGAACCACUGCUAUAGAGUAUCCUUGGACUAGAAGUCCUUCAUUUCAAUAGAAUUUGCUAUUAUCUAUGAUUUCACUUAUCCAUGUGAAGUCUGGGAAUGUAUCCUCUAUAGAUACAGCAGUCACACUGUAUUUAUAUCCUUCCUGUUCACUAGUUUGGGAUUAGAGGCAGGUAACAAUGAUUACAACAGAUAUAACCCUAAAAUGUAUAUUGCACAACAAUUAGAAAUAUAAUUAAACUAGCAAUAGAGUUAAAAACAGUUAAAAGCAAAAUGGUUAAACAGAAAAAACCAGUAACAUUGCAGUCUGAAAAGCCCUUUCCCUCAUGAUCUGUGUUUUUUAUCUGCAAAGUGUCAAGCAAGUUGUUUAGAACAGACUAUCAUUUACUUUGAAGGGUGGUAGGAUAGGAAGAAUAAAGAUCUAGUAUGUCAGAAGUAAGUCUCCCAUCUCAUGUGAUUUGGGCAUAUGGGGACAUGAGAGAAGCCUCCCACAGGAUGGUAAAACAUCAAACAUCCGAGCAUCCCCUGGGCAAUGUCCUUGCAGAUGGCCGAUUCUCUCACACCAAAAAUGACUUGCAGUUUCUCAAGUCACCCCGACAUGAAAAAAAAAAGUGUUUUGGGGGUUGUCUACUCAUUUUCUGUGUUUUGAUGAGACAAGCUGUACUGUCCUUGCUGCACAGAGAGGCACUGUAGUGUCAUGGUUUGAACAUUGGACUAGAACUCUGUAGACCAGAGUUCAAAUCCCCUCUAGAUCAUGGAAACCUGUUGGGAGGCCUUGGAUAAAUCACAUUUUCUCAGCCUCAGGGCAAAGGAACAACCCUUUAACAAAACAAUGAUAAAGCCACUUUAGGAUCACCACAAGUUAAAGACUUGAAGGCACACAGCAAUAAAUAUGUCAUAUUGCACAAGUGAAAUGUGUUUGCUUGAUGUUAGAGCCCAACUUUCAUGGUGUUUUUUCAAAAGCUAAAUUACACAAAAAACAGAGGGGGAAACUAGAUGUCUUUGGCAACUGACAAUGGUUUAUACAACCUUUCGUGUUUCAAUCAUGUUGAAAUCUCACUUUGAUCAGGAGGAAAUGAAAAUGACUGCUAUCCUGUGGCAGCUUUGGACUUGGAAGGGGUGAAUAUAUGAUUUCAAUUGUUGAGCUUCAUGUUGUAAAGACAUUUACAAAGCAAAUUGUUGCAAUGAUAGAUACUAAUAGUCAUUCAGGUAGCAUUAGAACCAAAAAGAGAAUAGAUUUAUUGUUUAAAAUACAAUAUAGAAAAGUCAUGCUGGGUCAAACCUGCCAUUCAGCCAUCAAAUCUCCUGUUUUUCCAUAUGAAUAACUGUACAGCUUGCAGCGUCUUACAACAUCAUCUAUGGAACUGAUACCCAACAGAUGUGUCAGACUAAAGUUUUGCAGUCCUACAUAACUGGCGGUUACUGGGUUCAGAGUGCCUAUCUUUAUAAUAAAAAGGAGAAAGAUGGUUUACUAGCUUCAAAUCUUUUCAGUGGUAUCAAAUUGCAACACUUGCUAUUUGUUAUGAUUUGGGUGUUAGGAAUACAAUUAACGAUGAACUAAGAAAGCUUUGUUAUCUUUUCCAAAAAUGAUAUUUUGGCCAAACUUAACAGGUCUGUACAUACUAGUAGGGACACUGUAAAACUGUGUAUUUAAAAUAGGUUUACCCAUCUUGAGGCCCAUCAAGAAAACCAUAGUUAAUCAACCAUCAAUGGGUCAAUAAAUCUAUUUUUUCCUAUUUCCACAGGACUGCAAAUACUGAAGUGGUCUUGUCUAGUAUUGAUGGGCCAAUGGCCAUGUCUAGUUGGCUAUGCAUGUGUUGAUAGGUCAUAAUUUAUGUAGGCACAACAUAAACAUACAAGGAAUGUGUUUCUUGUCUCUAAUACUGUAUAUGUGUUUCACUACUGUAGAAUAUUCCCAUGAUUCAUAAUGAAAGUGAGUGGAUAAUAUGUCUCAUACUGAUGUUAAAUGUCAUGGGAUUCGUGGAAAAAAACAUACUACUGUCCGACAUGAAGAAAAGUUGGCUCUGCAUAUUCACGGAUUCUGCAUCCACGCAUUCUAUCAUCCACAGCCUGAAAACAUUCACCAAAAGGAAGGAAGGAAGGAUGGAAGGAAGGAAUGAAAGAAAGAAAGAAGGAAGGGAGAAACUCCAAAAAGCCAACCUUUAUUUUACCAUUUUAUAUGAGAGACACUAAUUUAGUAUGCAAUUGAAUAUAAUGGACCUGAGCAUCCAUGGAUUUCUGUAUUUAUGGAGAGUUCUGGAACCUGGAACCAAACCCCAGAAGAUACCAAGAGACCACUGUAUUGUUGAUUUUGACUAAAAAUCUUUUGCUGAAACUUA